AAUAUUGGACAAUGGGGGGAACCCUAACCUAGUCAUGCCGCGAGUGUUAAGAUGGUCUUCGGAUUGUAAAGCACUUUAAGUUGGGAGGUGGAGUUGUAGGCAAAUGCCUUGCAAUUCUCACGAUACCAACAGAAGAAGCACCCGCUAACUCCAAGGCAGCAGCCGCGGUAAGACUAAGGGUCCAAGCGUUAAUCGGAAUUACUGGGCGUAAAGCGCGCGUAGGUGGUUCGUUAAGUUGGAAGUGAAAGCCCCGGGCUUAACCUGGGAAUUGCUUUCAAAACUGACGAGCUAGAGUACGGUAGAGGGUAGUGGAAUUUCCUGUGUAGCGGUGAAAUGCGUAGAUAUAGGAAGGAACAUCAGUGGCGAAGGCGACUACCUGGACUGAUACUGACACUGAGGUGCGAAAGCGUGGGGAGCAAACAGG
rnacentral:rRNA from 1 species